CGCCCCGGAGCGCAGCGCCGCCGUGCAGGCCCGGGGGGUGCCCUGGCCGCGCCCCCGCCGAGGAGUGGCGACAGCCCCCGGCCCGGUAGCGUUCCUGGAGGCCAGGUUACUGCAGGACAGGAGGCACGGGGCCCUACACAGGGAACAAGGACUGGAAGGCAAGCGCUCUGCGCUCAGACCACCGGCAGACAGACGCCCACCGGUUAAAGAGAAGACGGGCUUGACCAUGCUGGGGGCGAGGUCUCAGAAAGCCCCCUGGGGCUGAGCCUGGAUUGGUCUACUGUCCUAGAAAGGGGAGGACAGUGAGUUCAGACAGAGCGGCCCUCGCAACCCAGAGAGGUAAACUCUACACUCAACAUGGGGCUCGAACUUAAGACCCCGAGAUCAAGAGUCACACGCUGUACCGACUGAGCCAGCCGGGUGCCCCUGUAAUCUUAAAUUUUCCAGUAGCCACAUUCAAAAGUAAAAGGACACAGCAGCUCUCUGAAGAAUAGAGAGAGCCCUUUAUGGAUGGAGAAACUGAGGCUCAAAGAGGCGGCAUGACUUGCCCAAGGUCAAAAGGCUAAGAGAGAGGGUGAACCUGAAUUCAGUCACUAUACCCAUGAAUAUAUACCCAGUGACUGAGUCUAAGUCACUAUACCCAUGAUGCCACGGCUAACCAAGCACCAUGUUGGAUGCCUUAGAAAUGGCGGAGGGACACACUACAGAUUUAGCCAGUUGACUCCUUGCUCAGGAAGCUGAGGUCUGGAGUUCUAUUCCAGGCCGAUCAGUAAGUAUUAAAUUCCCAUCUUGAAAAAGAGUUGGAUAUGACUUAAAAGGUAUUCGGACAAUAAAGUCGUUUGGUUUUUUUAGUUUGU